rnacentral:tRNA from 1 species
AGGAGUGUAGCUCAGUUGGUAGAGCGUCGGUCUCCAAAACCGAAAGUCGGGGGUUCGAGUCCCUCCACUCCUGCCA